rnacentral:miRNA from 4 species
CCACCACCAUGUCUGACACUUU